GAUGAACGCUAGCGGCAGGCUUAAUACAUGCAAGUCGAGGGGCAUCAAGGUACACGAAAGUGUAUUGUUGGCGACCGGCGGACGGGUGAGUAAUAGGUAGGUAACCUACCUCAUACUGAGGCAUAGCUGGGAGAAAUUCCAGGUAAUUCCUCAUGAGGUUAUAUGACACAUGUGAUAUAAUCAAAGGUAUCGCAAGGUACUGGUAUGAGAUGGGCUUACUGACCAUUAGCUAGUUGGUGAGAUAAGAGCUCACCAAGGCGAAGAUGGUUAGGGGUUUUGAGAGAGAGAUCCCCACAUUGGAACUGAGAUACGGUCCAGACUCCUACGGGAGGCAGCAGUAGGGAAUAUUGGGCAAUGGGCGGAAGCCUGACCCAGCCAUGCCGCGUGAAGGAAGACGGCCUUAGUGGGUUGUAAACUUCUUUACUAUGCGACUAACUAGAUUUACGAGAUAAUUCUAUAGAAUGUAGCAUAGACAAAAAGCACCGGA
rnacentral:rRNA from 1 species